rnacentral:rRNA from 1 species
UACAGAGUUUGGAAUCCUGGCUCAGGAUGAACGCUGGCGGCGUGCCUAACACAUGCAAGUCGAGCGAUCUCUUCGGAGAGAGCGGCGGACGGGUGAGUAACGCGUGGGUAACCUGCCCUGUACACACGGAUAACAUACCGAAAGGUAUACUAAUACGGGAUAACAUAUGAAAGUCGCAUGGCUUUUGUAUCAAAGCUCCGGCGGUACAGGAUGGACCCGCGUCUGAUUAGCUAGUUGGUAAGGUAAUGGCUUACCAAGGCAACGAUCAGUAGCCGACCUGAGAGGGUGAUCGGCCACACUGGAACUGAGACACGGUCCAGACUCCUACGGGAGGCAGCAGUGGGGAAUAUUGCACAAUGGGCGAAAGCCUGAUGCAGCAACGCCGCGUGAGCGAUGAAGGCCUUCGGGUCGUAAAGCUCUGUCCUCAAGGAAGAUAAUGACGGUACUUGAGGAGGAAGCCCCGGCUAACUACGUGCCAGCAGCCGCGGUAAUACGUAGGGGGCUAGCGUUAUCCGGAAUUACUGGGCGUAAAGGGUGCGUAGGUGGUUUUUUAAGUCAGAAGUGAAAGGCUACGGCUCAACCGUAGUAAGCUUUUGAAACUAGAGAACUUGAGUGCAGGAGAGGAGAGUAGAAUUCCUAGUGUAGCGGUGAAAUGCGUAGAUAUUAGGAGGAAUACCAGUAGCGAAGGCGGCUCUCUGGACUGUAACUGACACUGAGGCACGAAAGCGUGGGGAGCAAACAGGAUUAGAUACCCUGGUAGUCCACGCCGUAAACGAUGAGUACUAGGUGUCGGGGGUUACCCCCCUCGGUGCCGCAGCUAACGCAUUAAGACCCCCCCCUGAAG